rfam:Glossina morsitans morsitans, isolate Yale, WGS project CCAG01000000 data, contig: ctg10021274
UCAUUGGUUUUUUUCAAAACCAAGAAAAAAAACAAAGAAAUUUCUU